rnacentral:sRNA from 1 species
AGAGUGACAGAACUCUCCCCCUCACCAGGGUGCCAA